rnacentral:snRNA from 1 species
AGUUUUGCGCAGUGGCGGUAUUGUAGCCAAUGAGGUUUAUCCAAGGCGCGAUUAUUGCUAAUUGGAAAAAAAAAUAAGUU